rfam:Cariama cristata contig102357, whole genome shotgun sequence.
CAGAGAACAGUUUAACGUAAAAUGCCAGCUUUGGGAGCUGGAGGCAGAGGUUUAAGUCCUUUUUUUCUGA